rfam:Nematostella vectensis strain CH2 x CH6 NEMVEscaffold_232_Cont19872, whole genome shotgun sequence.
GCCAGGAUGGCCGAGCGGUCUAAGGCGCUGCUUUCAGGUCGCAAUCUGGUUCUCCAGGCGUGGGUUAGAUUCCCACUCCAGACA